rnacentral:snoRNA from 1 species
ACGACCUUACUUGAACAGGAUCUGUUCUAUAGGCUCGUACCUCUGUAUCCUUGAGUUCUAAGGAGACAGGAAUCAACGUCUGGUGGAUGAUUUCGAACCGUGCGAUCAGAGCGUGAUUAAUUGCCUUUGGAUCUCAAGAUUCGAGUUUCUACGGGCCGUAGAGGAUCGUUCCUCAGUCCAUCUGAUGGCCUGGGAUGGUCGCACGGUUGUCUGACAGACU